CCUAGGGUGGUAGUAGUUGAGAAGUAUUCACAAAGGGGGAAACCCGGAGGGUGUGACGGCGAGGGGGGGAAUGAAGGUCUUCGGAUUGUAAACCCAUGUCAUGCGGGAGCAAAUUAAAACGAUGGUACCACAAGAGGAAGAGACGGCUAACACUUUGCUAGCAGCCGCGGUAAUACAGAGGUCUCAAGCGUGGUUCGGAAUCACUGGGCGUAAAGCGUGCGUAGGCUGUUUCGUAAGUCGUGGGUGAAAGGCGCGGGCUCAACCCGCGGGCGGCACAUGAUACUGCGAGACUAGAGAAAUGGAGAGGGAAGCGGAAUGCUCGGUGUAGCGGUGAAAUGCGUAGAUAUCGCGAGGAACACUCGUGGCGAAGGCGGGUUCCUGGACAUUAACUGACGCUGAGGCACGAAGGCCUGGGGAGCGAACAGGAUUAGAUACCCGAGUAGUC
rnacentral:rRNA from 1 species